rnacentral:rRNA from 1 species
CCCUUAGAUGUCCUGGGCCGCACGCGCGCUACACUGAUGCAUGCAACGAGUUUAUAACCUUGGCCUGAAAGGUCUGGGUAAUCUUUUGAACGUGCAUCGUGAUAGAGAUAGAUUAUUGCAAUUGUUAAUCUUGAACGAGGAAUUCCUAGUAAACGCGAGUCAUCAGCUCGCAUUGAUUACGUCCCUGCCCUUUGUACACACCGCCCGUCGCACCUACCGAUUGAAUGGUUCGGUGAAGAUCUCGGACUUCGAUAUUUAUUCUUUAUUGAGUUUAUAUUGUGGGAAGUUAUCUAGACCUCAUCAUUUAGAGGAAGGUGAAGUCGUAACA